GUGGGGAAUAUUGGACAAUGGGCGCAAGCCUGAUCCAGCAAUGCCGCGUGGAUGAAGAAGGUUUUCGGAUUGUAAAGUCCUUUCGGCGGGGACGAUGAUGACGGUACCCGCAGAAGAAGCCCCGGCUAACUUCGUGCCAGCAGCCGCGGUAAUACGAAGGGGGCUAGCGUUGCUCGGAAUGACUGGGCGUAAAGGGCGCGUAGGCGGAAUGCUUUGUCGGGCGUGAAAUUCCAGGGCUUAACCUUGGGGCUGCGUUCGAGACGGGUAUUCUAGAGUGGAGAAGAGGGUCGUGGAAUUCCCAGUGUAGAGGUGAAAUUCGUAGAUAUUGGGAAGAACACCGGUGGCGAAGGCGGCGACCUGGUCUUUUACUGACGCUGAGGCGCGAAAGCGUGGGGAGCAAACAGG
rnacentral:rRNA from 1 species